rnacentral:rRNA from 1 species
UUAUAGUUUGGGAUAACUCCGGGAAACCGGGGCUAAUACCGAAUAAUCUAUUUUACUUCAUGGUGAAAUACUGAAAGACGGUUUCGGCUGUCGCUAUAAGAUGGGCCCGCGGCGCAUUAGCUAGUUGGUGAGGUAACGGCUCACCAAGGCGACGAUGCGUAGCCGACCUGAGAGGGUGAUCGGCCACACUGGGACUGAGACACGGCCCAGACUCCUACGGGAGGCAGCAGUAGGGAAUCUUCCACAAUGGGCGAAAGCCUGAUGGAGCAACGCCGCGUGAGUGAAGAAGGUUUUCGGAUCGUAAAACUCUGUUGUAAGGGAAGAACAAGUACAGUAGUAACUGGCUGUACCUUGACGGUACCUUAUUAGAAAGCCACGGCUAACUACGUGCCAGCAGCCGCGGUAAUACGUAGGUGGCAAGCGUUGUCCGGAAUUAUUGGGCGUAAAGCGCGCGCAGGCGGUCCUUUAAGUCUGAUGUGAAAGCCCACGGCUCAACCGUGGAGGGUCAUUGGAAACUGGGGGACUUGAGUGCAGAAGAGGAAAGUGGAAUUCCAAGUGUAGCGGUGAAAUGCGUAGAGAUUUGGAGGAACACCAGUGGCGAAGGCGACUUUCUGGUCUGUAACUGAC